AGUACUAAUUGGAGGACCGAACCCAAUACUGUUGCAAAAGUAUGGGAUGAGCUGUGGAUCGGAGUGAAAGGCUAAUCAAGCACGGAGAUAGCUGGUUCUCCCCGAAAACUAUUUAGGUAGUGCCUCGUGUAUAACUCAUUGGGGUAAAGCACUGUUUCGACAAUGGGGGUUUUACGACCUUACUGACUCGAUGCAAACUCAGAAUACGAUGAAGUUCGAUCACGGGAGACACACUGCGGGUGCUAAGGUCCGCAGUGGAAAGGGAAACAGCCCAGACCGCCAACUAAGGUCCCAAAGUCAUAGCUAAGUGGGAAACGAAGUGGGAAGGCCCAGACAGCCAGGAGGUUGGCUUAGAAGCAGCCACCCUUUAAAGAAAGCGUAAUAGCUCACUGGUCGAGUCGGCCUGCACGUAAGAUUUAACGGGGCUAAGCUAUGCACUGAAGUUGCGGAAUAUAUUUAGUAUAUUGGUAGGGGAGCGUUCUGUAAGCCGAUGAAGGUGAAUUGAGAAGUUUGCUGGAGGUAUCAGAAGUGCGAAUGCUGACAUGAGUAACGUAAAAUAAGUGAGAUUCUUAUUGGCCGAAAACCCAAGGGUUCCUACGCAAUGUUAAUCAACGUAGGGUAAGCCGGCCCCUAAGGCGUAGCUGAAGAGUGAAGUCGAUGGGAAACAGGUUAAUAUUCCUGUGCUGCUUAUAUGAACGAAGGAGGGACGGAGAAGGUUAGGUAGGCCUGGCGAAUGGUUGUCCAGGUGAAAGUAUGUAGGUAGGAAUGCUAGGCAAAUCCGGUGUUCUGUUGAUCUGAGAUACGAGACGAAGUUAAACUUGUUUGACGAAGCUAUUGAUACCAUGCUUCCAGGAAAAGCUUCUAAGUAUAUUGUAUAAGUGACCGUACUGUAAACCGACACUGGUGGGUAGGUAGAGAAUACUAAGGCUAUGAGAUAACUCUGGUGAAGGAACUAGGCAAAAUGACACCGUAACUUUGGAAGAAGGUGUGCCCUUGAUGGUGAUGAGACUUGCUCUUUGAGCUGUUGGGGGUUGCAGAUACCAGGUGGCUGCGACUGUUUAUCAAAAACACAGCACUCUGCGAAAUCGUAAGAUGAAGUAUAGGGUGUGACGCCUGCCCGGUGCUGGAAGGUUAAUUGAAGGGGUUAGCGCAAGCGAAGCUCUGGAUCGAAGCCCCAGUAAACGGCGGCCGUAACUAUAACGGUCCUAAGGUAGCGAAAUUCCUUGUCGGGUAAGUUCCGACCUGCACGAAUGGCGUAACGAUGGCCACACUGUCUCCACCAGAGACUCAGUGAAAUUGAAAUCGCUGUGAAGAUGCAGUGUACCCGCGGUUAGACGGAAAGACCCCGUGAACCUUUACUAUAGCUUUGCACUGGACUUUGAAUAUUUAUGUGUAGGAUAGGUGGGAGACCAUGAAGCAGCUACGCCAGUAGUUGUGGAGUCGUCCUUGAAAUACCACCCUUGAAUAUUUGAAGUUCUAACUCAGGAGAGAUUCGAGGACAGUGUAUGGUGGGUAGUUUGACUGGGGCGGUCUCCUCCUAAAGAGUAACGGAGGAGUACGAAGGUGCACUCGGUACGGUCGGAAAUCGUGCCAAGAGUAUAAAGGCAAAAGUGCGCUUGACUGCGAGAGUGACGGCUCGAGCAGGUACGAAAGUAGG
rnacentral:rRNA from 1 species